UACGUAGGAGGCAAGCGUUGUCCGGAAUUACUGGGCGUAAAGGGCUCGUAGGCGGCCAACUAAGUCGGAUGUGAAAUCCCCAAGCUUAACUUGGGAACUGCAUCCGAUACUGGAUGGCUUGAAUCCGGGAGAGGGAUGCAGAAUUCCAGGUGUAGCGGUGAAAUGCGUAGAUAUCUGGAGGAAUACCGGUGGCGAAGGCGGCAUCCUGGACCGGCAUUGACGCUGAGGAGCGAAAGCUAGGGGAGCAAACGGG
rnacentral:rRNA from 1 species